UACGUAGGCAGCAAGCGUUGUUCGGAAUUACUGGGCGUAAAGAGUACGUAGGUGGUUUGCUAAGUCCGAUGUGGAAUCUCCCGGCUUAACUGGGAGGGUGCGUUAGAUACUGGCAGGCUUGAGUGUGGGAGAGGAGAGCGGAAUUCCUGGUGUAGCGGUGAAAUGCGUAGAUAUCAGGAGGAACACCGGUGGCGAAGGCGGGUCUCUGGGCCGAUACUGACGCUGGAGAAGCGGAAAGCAUGGGGAGCGAACAGG
rnacentral:rRNA from 1 species